UAUUGCAAGAGAGUUGCGCAGACUCAACGGGUUCAUUUGUGAUAUAUGCUCCAGUAGAUAUUGUGGCAAUGAACGUGGUUCUGAAUGGAGGAGACCCUGAUUACGUGGCCCUUCUUCCUUCAGGAUUUGCUAUUCUCCCAGAUGGGACCACUGCACAUGGAGGAAGCAUAGGUGACACUGGAAAUGGUGGAUCUCUUUUGACUGUAGCCUUCCAAAUCUUGGUUGAUUCAGUUCCAACUGCAAAACUCUCUCUUGGAUCUGUUGCCACUGUUAACAAUCUUAUUGCCUGCACUGUUGAGAGAAUUAAGACUGCUUUAUCUGGUGAAGUUGCUUGAUCUAAGGUUUAAGAAAAGGAUGCAUUUUGGAGAAAUGGGAAGGUGUUGGAAACUUCGGCUUAUAAAAAAAAGAUGAGAAGUCAAGAGCGCACCUUGCAUGAUCCUUUCUUAACAUUCAAAACGAGAGGAUUAAGGUUCGGGAAUUGACUUCCAUGGAAAUAGUAAAUGCUAUAAGAGCUUAAAAAUCAAUGAAGACCAUAUACUUUUCUUCACCUUCCAAAAAUGCUUAUUUAUAGUUAGCUUUCUCGUUUGUUAUUAUUAGGUUGUAGCUUUGAGGUAACCUCUCGUGUUCCUUCUUCGGUUGUUAUUAUUUGAAUUUCAGCUCAAGCACCAACACUAUAGCUAGUAAUUGGGAAGCUUGAACCUUUAGUGUAGUGGUUAAAUUAUCACUAUACUAUAUGUUUGAUCCUUCUAAGAUUUUCAAAUGAAUGUUUCUUCCAAUUUGCCAAG